AUCCACUACCUGCACACAAAUUACAUUACACAUUCACAAUUAAACAAAGUGCUAAUCAAGUUUUUGGUUCAGGUUUAGCUUUUCUUUAUAAAGUAUAGAAUCAGAUGAAAAAGAUACAGGCUGAAACGAGCACAAGCAGCUAGCACCUUGGAGAAAGGAUCUUUUGCUUCAACAAAUGCUCUCAUAAGACGAAUUCUUCUCAUCUCCUCCAUUUCUUGAGUGCUGCUUUUCAUCUCGUCGUUUCUAUUUACCCUUGGUACCACUUUUUCUGCUUCAUCUUUCAUGGUUUUCUUGGACUCCAACUCGGGUAUUAUAUCAGAAUCCAUGGUUUUUUUUUUUUU